UACGUAGGGUGCGAGCGUUAAUCGGAAUUACUGGGCGUAAAGCGUGCGCAGGCGGUUUGUUAAGACAGGUGUGAAAUCCCCGGGCUUAACCUGGGAAUGGCGCUUGUUACUGGCAGGCUAGAGUGUGUCAGAGGGAGGUAGAAUUCCACGUGUAGCAGUGAAAUGCGUAGAUAUCUGGAGGAAUACCGGUGGCGAAGGCGGCAUCCUGGACCGACAUUGACGCUGAGGAGCGAAAGCUAGGGGAGCAAACGGG
rnacentral:rRNA from 1 species